rnacentral:lncRNA from 1 species
AGUGAACAGUCCUUUUCUGUGGCCUGAGGAUCAAGAUGUAGAACCCUCAGUUCCUCCAGCACCAUGCCUGCCUGGACACUACCAUGCUUCCUGCCGAGAUAACGGACUGCACCUCUGAAACUGUAAGCCAGCCCCAGUUAAAUGUUGCCCUUAUAGGAGUUGCAUUGGUCAUGGUGUCUCUUCAUAGCAAUAAAACCCUAACUAAGAUACUACGGUUGCUAUGGUUGUCACUGACAAAUGGGAGCCGAUUGGAGUGUCAACCCUGGCUGCCUGAGGGGUCACAUCACAGAAUGUCCUUAGUCCCCGAGGCCCAGGAAUGUUCCCCUCCACCCUCUCUGGGGGGGAUGAUCUUGCUGCA